CUCUGUGUGCGCGUGCCCAGUAUUCGUCUCUUUUAGCCACCCAGAGAGAGAGAAGAGGAUAAUCCCAGCGACAUCUGUGGCUCUGAGGCUUUCAGAAAUAAUCCGGUGAAAUAAUAUGAUGUUUGUGUAAAUGCUGUGUGUGCGUUGAGUCUUGCGCCAGCGGGGAGCAGAGUUGCCAUGGAAACGGGGCAUCAACACAAAAACCGUUACUGGCAAGCAGUAAUCUCCUCUCUCGCUGCGGUUUACACUGUUUUAGGUAAGUUUAGUCGCUAAAAUCACACUAAUAUUAUAUACAAAUGUUCCUGACACGUUUCUUGCUUGUUAUUGACAUGUUUCAAUUAAAUUUAUUUUAUAGAAACGG